GAUGAAGAACGUAGCGAAAUGCGAUAAGUAAUGUGAAUUGCAGAAUUCAGUGAAUCAUCGAAUCUUUGAACGCACAUUGCGCCCGCCAGUAUUCUGGCGGGCAUGCCUGUUCGAGCGUCAUUACAACCCUCAGGCCCCCGGGCCUGGCGUUGGGGAUCGGCGGAGCCCCCCGUGGGCACACGCCGUCCCCCAAAUGCAGUGGCGGUCCCGCCGCAGCUUCCAUCGCGUAGUAGCACACACCUCGCACCGGAGCGCGGAGGCGGUCACGCCGUAAAACGCCCAACUUUCUUAGAGUUGACCUCGGAUCAGGUAGGAAUACCCGCUGAACUUAAGCAUAUCAAUAAGCGGAGGA
rnacentral:misc_RNA from 1 species